rnacentral:lncRNA from 1 species
AGGAUUUGGUUUAAGAUUUAGCGUUUGGUUAGGAUUUGAUUUAGGAUAAGGGUUUGGUUAGAAUUUGAUUUAGGAUUUAGGAUUUGGAUUAGGAUUUGAUUGAAAUUUGGUUUAGGAUUCAGGGUUUGGUUAGGUUUGAUUUAGGAUUAAGAUUUGUUUAGGAUUUGGUUAGGGUUUGGUUUAGGAUUUGGUUGGAGUUUGAUUUAGGAUUUGUUUAGGGUUUGGUUUAGGGUUUAGAGUUUGGUUAGGGUUUUAUUUAGGAUUUAGGAUUUGUUUAGGAUUUGGUUUAAGGUUUGGUUAAGGUUUGGUUUAGGGUUUGGAUAGAAUUUGAUUUAGGAUUUGAUUAGGGUUUGGUUUAGGAUUUAGAUUUUGAUUAGGAUUUUAUUUAGGAUUUAGGGUUUGAUUAGGAUUUGGUUUAGGAUUUGGUUAAGGUUUGGUUUAGCAUUUGGAUAGAAUUUGAUUUAGGAUUUGAUUAGGAUUUGGUUUAGGAUUUGGUUUAGGAUGUAGGGUUUGAUUUAGGAUUUAAGAUUUUAUUAGGGUUAUUUUUGGAUUUAAGAUUUAAUUAUUUUUGGCCUAAAAUUUGAAUGAAGUCUAAUAGGAUUUUAAUUAGGAUUAAAUUAAGAUUGAAUUGAGAUGUAUUUGAGAUAUAUUUGUGAUCAUUUUAAUAUUUCUUUAAGAUUUUUUAUUGUUUCUUUGAAAUUUCUUUGAGGUUUCUUUGAAUUUAAUUAAAGCUUUCUUAGCAUUAUUUUUAUCUAAUUAAAGUUUAGUUAGUAUUCUAUUAUAGUUAGGAUUCUGUUGUUAUAAUUUCCAUUCUAUCUUCCAUAACCAGGUGCCCGGAGCAUUCUCAAGCAAGACUUCACGUAUUACGACAACGAUCGACCUCCAAGUAUCAAUCUAACCUAUCCGAAGGAU